GUUUCGAUUGCUAAAACAGAAACCCUAACUCUCUAGAAGCUGAAAAAAGCGCCCCCCUGAGAUUGGAAAUCCGCAAGCUACGCCGCCGUGAUGGAGUUCAUGCUAGAGUCACUGGACAGAAAGGAUUUCCUAAGACUGAUGCACAUAGUGCGUAGUCGAGGCUUGAAAGGCGACCAUGGGACAUGGGACGAGUUCAUGAAAUCUAAAUUCCCACGUCGCGAAGACAGGUUUCUUACUCCUGUACGUCGAAGCAAAGAAGAUCUCAUCGCUUUCUUCCUGACCCUCCAAAAGAAAGAUGAUUUGCAGUUAUAACAAGCUUGGGUUCUUAAUCCCAGCCGUUUUCUGGCUCGUUUACUCUCAAAGCGGUCUGAUCAUGACGAUAUUCCUGAUAGCGUGUUGUUCAAGAUGAGACCAAUAGAGUUCAGUGAUUAUUCUGUGUAUUCUAGAUGGCACACUCUCGUUAAAACCACUCUGGCUCGUGAAGAUCACCCUUUGGACUACUUUUUGUCUCCACCGUUUGAGGAUUGGGUUAUUACUGGGAUUGGGAGAAAGAAAAGCAGAUCAGACUAUGCCAAGGACAUCGAUGCAAUUGCUCUUUGUUGUGAGAUGGUUCUUUGUCAAAAUGGGAGUGACUCUGCUGUUAGAGUUGUUGCUAUUGACUCUGAUUUUAAGGUGAUUCUUGACGAGCUCUUUUCACCGAGUCAUGACGAGCAGUCCAAGAUCUUGACGAGCAGUCCAAGAUCUUGACGAGCAGUCCAAGAUCUUGAGAAUCCCUCCCACACUCUCUCUCUGGCAGAUAUUCAGGAAAAACUGCUUAACUUGCUUUCUGUGGAUACUAUUAUGGUCGGUCACUCUCUCAAAAAGGACCUACAAGCACUCAAGUUGGAUCACACCAAAGUAUUAGACACUUCGCUUGUCUUCGAGUACGAAUACUCUGGCGAGCCUCCAAAGAAGAGUAAUAGAUAUUUCGAGACUCGCAUUGAAUUUGGAAGACUUCUGCCUCGAAGGCCUUCUCUGGACUCUCUAUGCAAAGGUAAAGAGACUCGCAUAGAUGCUUGACCCGUGCAACGGUUCGAUCAUACUGUUAGGUUAAUUAAUGUAAUUACAUCUUUUAGAGGUACUGGCCUCUAUGUUUCGAUAAAAUUGUAGGAUGUGAUUCAGUAGAUUCGGUCUUCUUAGCUAUAGCUUUCAGUAUUGUUUCUAGCAAAAUCCCACUUGUAGAAGAGGUUUGUUGUUAAGUAUGG